UACGUAGGGACCGAGCGUUGUCCGGAAUCAUUGGGCGUAAGAGCGUGUAGGCGGCCACUUAAGUCCUGCGUGAAAUCUUGCGGCUCAACCGCAAGCGGUCGUGGGAAACUGGGUGGCUAGAGUGCGGGAGAGGAGAGUGGAAUUCCUGGUGUAGCGGUGGAAUGCGCAGAUAUCAGGAAGAACACCCGUGGCGAAAGCGGCUCACUGGACCACAACUGACGCUGAGGCGCGAAAGCUAGGGGGAGCAAACAGG
rnacentral:rRNA from 1 species